ACUUCAGUCCACUCAGGACUGUGACUAAAUGACUUAAACUGUAUAUAUCCAGCUUAAAAUAUAAACAGUUGCUCAUGGCUAUUGAAGCAGUAACAAAUUCAAUGUCUGGUGAGGGCCGUGCUGUCCCAUCCUCCCAAAAGGGCAAGGGAGUUCCCUCUAGCCAGACACAAAGUUAUUAAUCUUGGGCAUGCAAGACCUCCCCUCAUCAUUUAAUCCCUUUAUAAAAGGCUCCUGCCUCUUUUUCAACAUUUGGGUUUUUUUAAGAUAGGGUCUCACUUUGUAACUUUGGCUAACCUGGAGUUCCCUGUGUAAACCAGGCUAGCCUCAAAUUCAUAAAGAUCCAUCUGCCUCUACCUCCCGAGUGCUGGGAUUAAAGGUGUGAAACAUCACCAGCGACCCUAGGUUUCACCGCUUAAUAUGAUCUCUCUGGUGCUUAAAUGCCAACAUGAGUUUUGGAAAAGACACAAACCUCGAAGCACAACCCCUGUGCUGAGUAGGACUUCAGAGAUGGGGGGGACCACAGUUCGUUUAGAGUUCCUCUGUUAGACACAGUCUUGAUCUGGGUCUGCAGAACUCAGCCUAAUAGUACAUCUGGAACUGAGCCUGUGUGAAGUUUGCAGAUGGAUCAACAUACAGAGCUGGAUGAAGGCCGAGCCAUAAAAAUUGGCAAAUUUAGAAGAGCAGAGAUCAUGACCGCUUAUAUUUUAAUGCACUUGAUUUUCUCAGCAGGCCAACUGCUAAGAUGACCUUGAAAGGAAAGACUUAAUUACUCUAUGUGUGGAAAAUAUCAUGAAGAUAGAUCAAUUAUUUUUGAAAACAAAAAGGCUAAAUAUCAGCAGUGUAAUCAGAAAGACCCACAACACCCAGAUGAGCGACCUCAUUUCCUGAAUGCAUCGGGUGAUUAUGUGUCUUCAUCUUGAAAUGCCUCUAAAUAAAUGCCUUUGGGAAGCAGACUCACAACUUUGCAGAAAAAUAAUAGUCUAAAUGAAGAUGAAACAAUCAGCUGGGUUCUAAAAUGAUUAGUAUGAGGAAGAAUUUUAGAAGCCAUCGGUGAAAUACAGACAGUGGACUUAUCACUUGGAAUCCAGAAAGAGACGGAAGAUGUCAGCAGAGGCCUCCCCAUCUCUCUUGAGAUAAGGUGAAAUGAGCCGAGACAUCUCAUGUCCGUUGACAAUGGCUUUCCCAAACACCUCCCAAUAUUUGUCGGAAUUUCCAGAAAAAAGGACAGAGUGAUGCUUGCAUUCUUAAGGCCUCUUCCUCCUGGCCUUUCCUCCAGCAUGUUACUGUGGCUCCUGUCAUAUACACACACAACUCUGUCUUCUCUGCGAAUUAAGUCAACCAAGACAGAAGCAGCAGCCACGACAACAAAGCUGGACCAGUUCCAUUUAUUAAAAACAGUGAUGGACAGAGAAGCUGUUCAUUUACUACAUCACCCCAAAAUUCAUAUGCUGAAAACUUGGUCCUCAAAGUCCUGUAUAUUUGAUGUGGGGCCUUUGGAGGAGAGAGUGUUGAAGACCCUUUCAGGACAAUUAUGAUUUAUGAAAUCUAAUCUGGCAUUGGAACAUGGAGACAGAAGAUUCCUGUCUGAAAACUCACAGAGUGUGGUGACAGAGGAGGUCAGCAGAGUCAAAGCUGUUUUAGGACUGGUGUUGGGAAGGGGGCUUCCUCCUAGCAAAUCCCAUUCUCUUGACCUCUGCGCCAACCUGCUUUAAUUUUCCAUCGGCCUCAUUUGUCUAUUGCUGCAUUCCCUGAUAAAAGUCUAAGACGUCAAGGGUGUAUGCAUGGAGUGCUUUGGCACCGGAUGGAUAAACUGAAGAUAAAGCCACCGAAUAAAGUGACAUUACUGCUUGAAGGUAUGAUUGAUAGGAAGGUUUCUAUUGUAGAUACAAUGGAGAGAACAAUCAGAGGAAUCUGGAAGAAUCCAGAGCAGAUAAAGAAAGCAGCUGACUGAACAUGGCCAGAGGAAGACAAGGAAAGUUCAGGCAAAGGAGACUAAGAGAGAGGGCCAAAAGAGAGGACCAAGAGAGGGGGCAAACGGGAAGAGAACAGGAGAGAGCCAAGAGCAGGUUUCUAUGGGAACGAGAACCUGGGAAAGGAAAGACCAAGAGCUGGUGUAGCAUAGGGUUGGGUGGGGUAGGUCCUUGUGGUACUGGGGGACACUGAAGUCAGCAUGUACUUUGGUAAGCUCAUAGGCACCACAGGAAGGGAGCUGGCCUCACAAGUCUCCAGGAAUGCUGGCUUUUGUGUGACCACCAGAGUUUAGUGAAACGGAGUUUCCUUUGGAUCUGACAAAGAAGCUGCUGGCUGCUGCUGUAACUUUGGGAAUUUCCAAAAAUCUGACUUCCUGGGUUGACAAUUCUUAGCCAAAAUAGGACCAGAGAUGGUGACAUAUCAUGGAAGAGGAGUAGGGCUAAGGUUAUCACAUUUCUCCUUCCCCUUAAAGCCUGUGUUCUAGAAAAUAAUUAUUAACAUAGUACACAGAGAGUCAGUGGUUUGAAACUACUUCAGCAUCUGAAAAAAUAAAAAAUACAAAUUUUGUGGAAGUGGAGAGAUGGCUUAGAUAUUAAGAGCACUCACUGCUCUUGAAGAGGACCCGAGAUUUGUCCUGAGCACUGCCUGUAACUCCAGCUCCAGAGAGAUUUGAUGCUGCUGACUUUUGUGGGGACCCAAGGUCACAUGCCCAUAUACACACGUGGACACACAGACAACUGAAGAUAAAAUACAUCUUCGAAACAAAUAAAUAACAGCUUGGAUUAAGAAUGUAGGGUGGAGAGGGCAGCGAAGAGACUCAGUGGGUAAAGAUACUUGCUGCCAAGCCUAAUGACCUAUGUUCAGUCCCUAAAUCUACAUGGCUGAAGGAGAGAAUCCACAACUACAAAUUGUUUUCUGACCUCCACAUUCAUGCUGUGGCACAUGCACGCCCCCCCAAU